AACGCGAAGAACCUUACCUGGGCUCGAACGGCUUCGGACAAUCCUUGGAAACAGGGACUUCCCGCAAGGGACUGGAGUCGAGGUGCUGCAUGGCUGUCGUCAGCUCGUGUCGUGAGAUGUUGGGUUAAGUCCCGCAACGAGCGCAACCCUUGUCCUGUGUUGGCAUGCCGUAAGGCGCAACUCUCAGGAGACCGCCAGCGAUAAGUUGGAGGAAGGUGGGGAUGACGUCAAGUCAUCAUGGCCUUUAUGUCCAGGGCCACACACGUGCUACAAUGGGCGGUACAAAGCGCUGCCAACCCGCGAGGGGGAGCUAAUCGCCAAAAACCGUCCUCAGUUCGGAUUGCAGGCUGCAACUCGCCUGCAUGAAGCUGGAAUCGCUAGUAAUGCUAUAUCAGAACGAUAGCGUGAAUACGUUCCCGGGCCUUGUA
rnacentral:rRNA from 1 species